CACGCCGUAAACGAUGAAUACUAGGUGUAGGAGGUAUCGACUCCUUCUGUGCCGCAGCUAACGCAUUAAGUAUUCCACCUGGGGAGUACGGCCGCAAGGUUAAAACUCAAAGGAAUUGACGGGGGCCCGCACAAGCAGUGGAGUAUGUGGUUUAAUUCGACGCAACGCGAAGAACCUUACCAGGGCUUGACAUCCUCAGACCGCGAUAGAGAUAUCGUUUUUCAUGGAGCAAUCCAUGGACUGAGAGACAGGUGG
rnacentral:rRNA from 1 species